rnacentral:rRNA from 1 species
UACGUAGGUGGCGAGCGUUGUCCGGAAUAACUGGGCGCAAAGGGAGCGUAGGUAGUUAAUUAAGUUAGGUGUGAAAGCCCAGGGCUCAACUCUGGAAUUGCACUUAAAACUGGUUAACUAGAGUGCAGGAGGGGUGAACGGAAUUUCUAGUGUAGCGGUGAAAUACGUAGAUAUUAGGAAGAACACCGGAGGCGAAGGCGGUUCACUGGACUGCAACUGACACUGAGGCUCGAAAGCGUGGGGAGCAAACA